GCAUUGACAGGCAGAUUCUUAACCACUGGGCCACCAGGGCAGUCCAGCGUGAUGUUUUCUGGGUUUUCAGUGCUGCAUGGGUUUCUCUCUAGUUGCAGUGAGUGGGCUGCUCUUCAUUGUGGUGUGUGGGCUUCUUAUCACAGUGGCUUCUCUGUUGCUUCCCUGGGGGCUCCGCUGGUAAAGAACGCGCCUGGGAGGCUGCAGACCCUGGUUUGAUUCCUGGGUUGAGAAGAUCCGCUGGAGAAGGGAUAGGCUGCCCACUCCAGUAAUCUUGCCUGGGAAAUCUCAUGGACAGAGAAGCCUGGUGGGCUACACUGCCUACCCACGCCAGUAUUUUUGGGCUUCCCUGUGGCUCAGCUGGUAAAGAAUCCGCCUGCGUUAUGGGAGACCUGGGUUCGAUGCCUGAGUUGGAGAGAUCCCCUGGAGAAGGGAACAGCUACCCACACCAGUAUUCUGGCCUGGAGAAUUCCAUGGACUGUAUAGUCCAUGAGGUCGCAAAGAGUCGGACACGACCGAGCGACUUUCGUUCUCUUGUCGCAGCUCCCAGGCCCCGGAGCACACACUCAACAGCUGCAGGCGCACCGGCGUCGCUCCCCUGAGGCAUGUGGGAUCCUCCCGGAUCACGGAUCAAGCCUGUGUCCCCCACACUGGCAGGUGACUUCUGUAGCACUGAGCCACCAGGACAGCCCCCAGCAUCUGUUGUCAAGGCUCUUCUGUAUUGUGGCAUUAUCGUACUUGAUUCUUCCAAAUAAUGCUCAGCUACGUGCAUGGUCCACGUUUUAUCUGUCCGUCCAUCAGCUGACAGACGUUUGGCUUGUCUCCGCCUUGUGCCUCUGCGAACAGCGCUGCUAUGAACGUCUGAGUACAGAUAAAUCAGAUCUGACGCAACUGGAGUCGCAUUUUCAACGGCGCGGGCAGGCAGAGCCAGCAGCAGCUGCCGCGUUACCGUCGCCUGUUCUCCGCCGUCACCAGCCCUCCCUAUUGCGUCACACUUGGCCCGAGUCCCUCCGAUCGCACCCUUGCUGGCAACCGAGUUUGUCAGGAUCCCAGCUGGAAACAGUUACCACCCUGAAAUAGCGUAGGUGUCCACCGAGAGUUGCACAAAGGGAGGAUUUCAAAGAUGCGAGCAGGGUUAAGAGAAAAGCACCCGAGCUGGGGACACCCCGAG
ensembl:lncRNA